rnacentral:rRNA from 1 species
ACACGACUACAUUAGAUACCCCUGUAGUCCAGGGUGUAAACGCUGCAGACUUGGUGUUGGGAACCCUUCGGGGGUGCUCAGUGCCGGAGAGAAGUUGUUAAGUCUGCUACGUUGGGAGUACGUCCGCAAGGAUGAAACUUAAAGGAAUUGGGCGGGGGAGCACCGCAACGGGAGGAGCGUGCGGUUUAAUUGGAUUCAACGACCGAAAAACUCACCAGCAGCGACUGUUACAUGAAAGUCAGGUUGAUGACCUUACUAGAUUUUCAG